rnacentral:rRNA from 1 species
GACGAACGCUGGCGGCGUGCUUAACACAUGCAAGUCGAACGGAAAGGCCCUGCUUUUGUGGGGUGCUCGAGUGGCGAACGGGUGAGUAACACGUGAGUCACCUGCCCUUGACUUUGGGAUAACUUCAGGAAAGUGGGGAUAAUACCGGAUAGGAGCUCCUGCUGCAUGGUGGGGGUUGGAAAGUUUCGGCGGGUGGGGAUGGAGUCGGGGGUUAUCAGCUUGUUGGUGGGGUAGUGGCUUACCAAGGCUUUGGCUGGUAGCCGGCCUGAGAGGGUAGACAGCGACAGUGGGACUGAGAGACGGCCCAGACUGCUACGUGAGGCAGCAGUGGGGAACAUUGCACAAUGGGCGGAAGCCUGAUGCAGCAACGCCGCGUGCGGGAUGACGGCCUUCGUGGUGUAAACCGCUUUCGCCUGUUACGAAGCGUGAGUGACGGUAAUGGGUAAAGAAGCACCGGCUAACUACGUG